rnacentral:misc_RNA from 1 species
GUGAAUCAUCAAAUUUUUGAACGCAAAUUGCACUCUCUGGUAUUACUGAGAGUAUGCAUGUUUGAGGGUGUGAGUAAAUAAAAAUGGGUGUGGUUGCUGCCUGUCGUGGUGACGCACUGGGUUAGGGUCGUCUUGCCUUGGGUUAAGGGACCUAAAAUUUUGUUUGAGGUUUUCGGAAGGAUUUAAAUGAUUUUACGUACGCUUGC